GAAAAAUACGGUAUUUUCCAGGCUUUAUCCAUUUUAUGCCAUAUAUACAAACCCAUACAUUCACUCACCCAGUGCUAUUUUUUCUAGAAAAAGAGGUGUCAGAACUCACCAUGAACACGUCCCUUUUUCUCUUAGAAUGGCAAUGGCGCCGACCUGAGAGGUCCUGGAAUUGAGUUCUAGCAAGAUGCGGCUGAAAAAAAGCCCUACAUGCACCCAAUCACCCACCCAUAUAAAUAUGUGCCCAUACACAUCCCUCCUCCUCCUCCUCCUCCUCCUCCUCCUUCUUCUUCUUCUUCUUCCCUGCCCUUCACCCUAAGGUCCCAGGGUGGGUUACAACAAUUAAACCACAAUAUUAUUAUUAUUAUUAUUAUUAUUAUUAUUAUACAAAUAAGUUUUUUUUAAUAGUUUUUAAUAGUUUUCCAAAAUUGCCCCAAUAAUAGCCAAAUUACAACGAUAUCAAUUAAUUAAACCAUGAUAUUAAAAUCAGUUUAAAACAACUUCACAAUUGCAGGUCUAAGGUGUUUUCUUAAAAUAUACACCUCAGGUGUCAGAAGCCAGAUGUGUCAGGCAUUCACCGGAAGCUGUAUAGGGAAGUUUGCGGGUGCAUCUCAGUGGGCUGCGAGUUCCACAACUUAGGGGUUGCCACAUAAGAUGUGGCCCACCCGCCCUAAGCCUCAGAGGGUGGUGGAACAGCCAAGAGGGCUUCCUCGGCCAAACUUAACACCUGAGGGGAUCUGUCAGGAAGGAGGUGGUCUUUCAGGUAUUCAGGGCCUGAGUCCACACACACACAUAACAUACGUAGAGAGAGAUUCUAGUACCAGACACCAACAACACACUCCUGCCAAUCUCUUGCUUUCAUUUGAUUAAUACGCUCGAAGGUUUUGCCCAUUUUUGUUCUGAUAUAUCUGCUGUUCUAGUUACUUGGUGAUGCUGGAAAAUGUGACCUCUGGAUCAGUCCUGCAUGCAUGUCAUUAUGUUGCUGUGCCAGUGGCUUUUUGUAGAUGUUGUAUUCGCCCCAUUUCCUCUUAUUUCCUGUGCCCUCGCUGCUUUCUAGCUUGUAAACUCUUCGGAGCCAAGGUCAGGCUCAGGGUCUGGAUUAUAAGAAUUUAAGAAGAGUCCUGCUGCAUCGGGCCAAAGGCCUAUCUAGUCCUUUUCUCGCAGUGGCCAACCAGAUGCCUAUGGCAUCCUCACAAGCAUGGCAUGGGUGCAAUAGCCCUCUCCUCACCUGUGAUGCCCAGCAGCUGAUACUGAGAGGCAGACUACCUUUGAGGGCACUUUAUACCUGAGGAGAGACUCUACCUCAGUGGCAGGCCUGCUUUGCAUGCCAAAAGGUACUGGGUUCAAAUUCCUGGCAACUCUUAUUUUUAAAAGGGUCAGGAAGCAAGGGAGUGGGGAAAGUCCCUCUGCCAGAGACCCCAGAAAGCCAUUGCCAGUCAGACUAGGCACUUCUGGGUUAGACAGAUCAAUAAUAUGAGAUUCCUACAUUCCUACAUUUGAUAAACCUCCAUAAAUAACUGAAUAGGGGAGGAAUCCUCUGUCAAGAGCUAUUUGGACAUCAAAUACUUGUGGGAGAAUUAUAUGAAGUGGGGCCACGUCCUGGUUCAGCUUGUGAUUUUAUGAGGGGAAAAGUCUUAGGUUGGGACGCAGCCAUUGACAAUGGUAGAUCCACUGUAGUCUGUUUUUAACGUCACUUCCAUGUGACCUGUUUAUUGAGUAUUUGGACGGCGGCGAUUUAAUAAGCAUCCACUCUGGUUUGUUUGUGGUGAGGUUAGAUGAUGUCGUGUCAAAGCAAGUGUCAGCCCACACUUUACGGUCCAUUUCCCUCCCCCAUCACUUUUUGCAAAAAGUCCAAAAUAGUGACACACACCCCCACACACACACCAAAAGCUCUCUUUUACUAAGCAACUUUAUAUCUUGUGCAAUCAAACUUUUUUUUAAAAAAUGUUGUACUUUAUGGUGCUUUUUAAAAUGUUGAGAGGGGGCUUUUUGUUUGCUUGUUUGUUUGUGUGGUGUGUAUUCCACAAAGCGCCUGUCUCUCACAGGACCACAAUAACAGGCCAAUUGCCAUUGCCCCAGAGCAUUCUGGGAAUGGCUGGUUCUUGCUGUGCUCUUAUUUAAAGAGAGCAUUCCUCUAGCGUGAAAGCAGAGGGAGAAAAUCUGAAAACCAUCGCCCUUUCAAGCUCUUGGAAGCAGACUGGUGAAUAUGAACUCUACUGUGGUCAAAUGUGAGGAAAUAGGGGAGGGGGGGAAUCUGGAGUCAGGAACUCCAACUCCCAUCAUCCCUAAGCACUAGCCAUUCUGGCUGGGGCUGAUGGGAACUGGAGUUCACACUCCCCAUUCUUGAGGCAGGGGGAUGACAAUCAAGCAAUGGUGUGUCACUGUUUCUUGCACAUAGGAAUGGCUCAGUGAGCUGGGCUGUUGCAAGGUAUUUUGGGGACAAGCCAAACAUCUCAACAAGUGUGUGGGUGUCCCCUCACCAGCCCUGCUUUGCACCUUCUUCACGUCUUUGCCAGACUGGACUAUGCCCUUGAACUCUAAACAAUGUCUCUGAUGUGUUCAUGUGAAGAAGUGACCCUACUUUGUAAAGGUGAAAUGUCCAUUUGCUGCUCCACCCGUUCUUGUCUCUGGCCCCGCCCAUCACUGUCAUGUGGCCCCCAAAAGCUCAUCUGGCCCUCGGACUGAAAAACGUUACCCUUUUGUAAAUACUGAUAGGCGAUACGCUGCUUCACCGAAGAGCGAAUCGCCCUGUCCGGAGGAACUGUUGGUUGGCAUGUCAAGUGAUACAUAUUGCAAUGGUUGGAACAUUUUUUGCUUGAGGAGGAAUUUGGGGUCCUCCUUACACUUCUGCCCUCUUCUGAACAGUGUGAGAUGAGCCCUCGUUUGUACCUCAAAGGACGUAGGAAGAUGGGGCUCUUUGGCUGAACUGCAGGAUCUUAAAGCCGCCUCGAGACUUCACCUAGAUAUUUCAAUGUGGGGACUAAAACAAAGAAUUUAUCUGUCCGCUCAUCAGGAACAUCCCAAAGGUUGCAGCUGGAAUUAUGGACCAGGCUCUCUCUGUGAGAGAGGCCACUGAGGUGUUAGUGCUGCAAUAUUAGGAGGCAAAUAACAGUGAUACUGAGAUUUCUAUCUUUUAUUGUAUAUGCUCCUUUGCUUUUGUCACACACACUCAUCGCCCGUACUCCCAGAUCAACUUGGAAAUGUCAUUCUAUU